rnacentral:rRNA from 1 species
UACGUAGGGCGCAAGCGUUAUCCGGAAUUAUUGGGCGUAAAGAGCUCGUAGGCGGCUUGUCGCGUCGAAUGUGAAAACUCGGGGCUCAACCCCGCGCUUGCAUUCGAUACGGGCAGGCUCGAGUUCGGUAGGGGAGACUGGAAUUCCUGGUGUAGCGGUGAAAUGCGCAGAUAUCAGGAGGAACACCGGUGGCGAAGGCGGGGUCUCUGGGCCGUAACUGACGCUGAGGAGCGAAAGCGUGGGGAGCGAACAGG